UGCGGGCCUCCGAGGAGGGGGUGCGGCUGCGCUCCUGUGGCCUGACCUUGGAGGAGGUGCAGACAGCCUGGUGUCUCCAGGGGGCUCCGCGAGCAGGAGGCGACCGGCAGGAAGGGAGGGAACAGAGGAGGACGGGCAGGCGGGUCUCCCCACCUCGGGGGCCCCCCCACACUCCCUCACGGCAGAGCCCGGGGGCGCCGGAUCAUGAACACGGGCCCCCGAGCCCAGCGCAGCACCGCAGGAAGGCUGGGGUGGACAUCGGAGCUGCGCGCUGCCGCGGCAGGGGGAGGAGAUGCCCGGACACUCCCACAAGUCUUCACUCAGAUUGCAUCAUUUUUUGAAGCUCAAGCUACUGAAUGGAAUUUUUUUCCAGAGAAAAUGACUAUUCACUGAGAUGUGAUCGGCGCACUGCACUGUAUUGAUCUAGUGCACUUACACCUUGGGAUGCGAUGCAGCAGCGGGUAACACACUGUCAAGUCACAGGGUCAUCAUUUCUUUGCUGUGGUCAGAACAUCUGAUACCCAGCUUCUCAGCGACUCUGAAGUACAUGAAUCGGCUUUGGGGCAAUGAUCACUGUGCUGUGCAGCAGACGCCAGGGCUUGUUCGCCUUCUAGACGAAAGCUUGUCCUAUUUAACAACAUGUCCCCAACCCCUCCCACCCAACCUGGUAACCACCGUUCUUCUGUCUGAAUCUAUGAGUUUGACUACUUCAGAUUUCACACCAUUGUCAUCUCCUAGCAGAAAGCAGAGGCUAGAAGCUCCCUGGCCUUGGUCUAGGCAGUGACUUUUGGACUCAACUCCAAAGCAAAGGCAGCCAAAGCAAAGACGCACAGGUGGGAAGACAUCAAACCAAAGAGCUCCUGCACAGCAGAGGACGCCACCGGCAAAACGAAAGGCAGCCCAGGGAUGGGAGGAAGUAUUUGCAAACCAUACACUGGACAGGGGUCAACAUCCAAAAUGCAUAAAGAACUUAUACAACUCAGUACCAAACAAGCAAUCUGACUGAAAAAUGGUCAGACGAAGUGAACAGAUGUUUUUUCAAAGAAGACAUCUACAUGGCCAACAAGUACAUGAAAAGAUGCUCAACACCACUGCUGAGGGAGCUAAACCACAGCUGUGACCUGGCACUUGCUGUAACGGCCGGCAUAAACGAAAAUGAUUAUUGUUAAUGUAUUAAACAUGUUUUA